CCCAGGCCGUUGGCCCGGGCUAUGGUAGAGCGCCCCUUCGGGGCU
rnacentral:sRNA from 1 species